AGACUUUUUUAGUAUCUGGUCUUACAUUCAGGUCUUUAACCCACUGAGUUUUGUUUUUGUGUAUGGUGUUAAGAGUUUUCCCGGCACCACUUACUGAAGAGACUGUCUCUUCUCCACUCUAUCUUCUCACCCCCUUUGUCACAGAUUAAGGACCACAGGUGUGUGGGUUUAUUUCUGGGCUAUCUUGUUCCAUUGAUUUGUAUUUCUAUUUUUAUGCCAAUACCACACUGUUUUGAUGACUAUAGGUUCACAAUAUAGCCUGAUGUCAGGGAGACUGAUACCUCCAGCUCUGGUUUUCUUUCCUGGGAUUGUUUUGCUAUUUGGAGUCUUUUGUGUUUUCAUACAAAUUUAAAAAUUUGUUCCAGUUCUGUGAAAAAUGCCAUUGGUAAUUUGGGAGAGAUUGAACUGAAUUUGAUUGCCUUGGGCAGUAUAGUAAUUUUGACAGUAUUGAUUCUUCCAAUCCAAGAAAGCCAGAAGUGUCCCAGCACUAGAGCCUGCAGGCUGCUGGGUGGGGACAGGUCUCAGUGCCAAAGCAGUGACCUCCAGGAGAGCUCAGCUGAGGAAUAUACCACAGGGCCUCCACCACUGGUGUUCCUGCCCCUGCAGUGGGCCACAGCCGACCCCCGCCUCCAGGAGACCCUCCAAGACCUGCAGGGAACUUCAGAAGCUGCAUCUUACCUGAGAGAAAUACUCUUCUGAGAUGCGUGCGGCCCACUCGAUGCACUGCUCCAGGGGCCGGCAGGGGUUGGACACGUCAGCACACUUGAUCAGCAUCCGUUUGAUCAGAGUCCGGUUCUCUGGAGUCCUGAGCAUGGUGUUUAUGGCUUCUUGAUCUUUAUCAGUUUCCUAAAGCAUGAGUGGAAUUCAAAGCAAUCAAAACGGGACCCCAGAUGAGGAUGCUGGGACUCCACGAGGUGAAGAGACUCAGAGGUACUGAGCUGACCCAAGAUAAGAGCGUGAGUCCUGCCUCUAGUCUUGGACUCUGUCACUCCAAAGCAGUACCUGCUAUCUGACUCACAGGGAGCCCCUCUGGAUACGUAGCCUCAGCCCAUGGUGUGAGGGGCCCUCUGCUUACGGGCCCCCUGAAGCAAAUUCAGGUUGGAAGAGGGAGUACUGGGUCGAAGACAUGAGCAAGCAUCUCUUCUUUCUGAUUCUGGGCCCAUCAAGCAGCUUUCCAGAGGAAUCAGCCACGUGGUUUCUGUGAGCAGUCACAGUCAUCCCCUCUCAGUGGGGACAAGACGGGUAGGGGGGACCCUGAGCCCAGGCUGCCUGGUCUCCUAGAAAGUGACAGAGACCGUGUCCUCAGUGAUUCUCCGCAUCUCCCACUGCCCACCAGCUUUGUGCUGACCCUUCUCUCUGCAGGUGUGUGACUACUGUUCAGUACUGCCCACCGGGAACUAUUUUCUUCCACCAGCAAUGACCCACUGGAUCCUGGUUCCCAGUCUCUCAGUAAAAAUCCAAGUUGUGACAGCAGAGAGGAGGAACAUGACUGUCAAGAAGAAUGAAGACUCUGCAACUUCCCAGAAUGGAUGGAGGAAGCCAAGUCUGUGAGGACACAAAGGAACUGAACCUUGAAAACAUCAUGCAACACAGAAGACCACAUCCUCAGGUGCUUCCAUUCGUCUGAAAUGCCCAGAACUCACAAAGCUACGGAGGCGGAAGGUAGAUCAGUUUCUGCCUACCAGGGGGCAGGAGAAUGACUGCUCAGGAGCUCAAGGUUCCUUUGGGGGUGAUGGAAAUGUUGUAAAUGUCGACUAUACGGAUGACUGCACAACUUGGAAUAUACCAAAAACUCCGCACGCUUUAAAUGGGUGAACUGUACAGUACCUAAUUAUAUCUCAACAAAAUUCUUUUUUAAAGAGCAAAAAGGAAACAUACUUUCCAGCUCA